GGGGAGGGAAUAUGAGAGUGAAAAUUUAUUGAAAUGGCUUUGAAUCAGAAGAGAAUAGGAGAUUUUCUAGCCAAUCAGAGCUGGAGCUGUUACUAAAAUGAAAAAGGACUUGAAAAUGCUGGCAAACAGUAGUUUUGAAACAGUAGGGGUGUCAAACUGGCAGCCUACAAGCCGGAUGUGUCACAUGCAGGCCACACCCACCCCAGUUCCAUGAAUGGGAAAAACAACACGAAACGUCAAGUGAUGGCAAUGUGAUGUGGGGGAUCAAGGACCUUCAGUCAUUCCACCCAAGUUCAUCUCCCAAAUCUUCCCUCUACUCUCUGUCAACUCUUCAGAGAAGAUUAGAAGUCUUCUAGAUCAGAUAGAACUCUUUACCAUACAGGACCCACAACAAACCCUUCCUGCUGGAUCUGUUGGACAGAUGAAGGUCCACUUUGAAGAACAGCUAAAUUCCAUACUCUUCUAGAAUAAAUGGAUGUGAUCCAC